GUAGGUGAACCUGCGGAAGGAUCAUUAACGAGAGGGGGCUUUACGCUCCGGGGGGCUUCGGCCCCCGACUCAUUCACCCUUUGCCCACCUACCUUUGUUGCUUUGGCGGACCUUGGGGCUUCGCCCCGCGUCAACUCCAGGCUUUGCGGCCGGGGUUCGGCGUGCGCCCGUCGGAGGCCCAUCAUAUUCUGUUUAUCAGUGACGUCCGAGUAAAAGCACGAAUAGUUAAAACUUUCAACAACGGAUCUCUUGGUUCUG
rnacentral:misc_RNA from 1 species